GUGGCCGAGAGGCUGAAGGCACCGGUUUGCUAAACCGGCAUAGGGAGUAAUCUCUAUCGCGGGUUCGAAACCCGCCCUGUCCGCCA
rnacentral:tRNA from 1 species